rnacentral:rRNA from 1 species
CGAUAGGGGGAUCCCAAGUGCAGAGGCAUAGAGCCUGCGCUUUUCUGUACCGUAAGGCGGUACCAGAAUAAGGGCUGGGCAAGACCGGUGCCAGCCGCCGCGGUAAUACCGGCAGCCCGAGUGAUGGCCGAUCUUAUUGGGCCUAAAGCGUCCGUAGCUGGCCGUGCAAGUCCAUCGGGAAAUCCACCUGCUCAACGGGUGGACGCCCGGUAGAAACUGCAUGGCUUGGGACCGGAAGGCUUGACGGGUACGUCCGGGGUAGGAGUGAAAUCCCUGUAAUCCUGGACGGACCGCCGAUGGGGAAACCACUUCAAGAGAACGGAUCCGACAGUGAGGGACGAAAGCCAGGGUCUCGAACCGGAUUAGAUACCCGGGUAGUCCUGGCCGUAAACAAAUGUCUCGCUUAGGGUGUGGCUCCCAACUACGAGUGGGUGCUUGUGCCCGCUAGGGGAAGCACGCAUAAGACAAGAGCCGCCCUGGGGAAAGUACGUCCUGCAAGGGAUGAAAACUUAAAGGAAUGGGGGGGGGAAAAAACAACAAAAAAGGAAU